rnacentral:lncRNA from 1 species
GGCUAAACUGCAGUUUUGACCCCCUAACUUUCAUAAAGGUGCGAUUUUGGUCCCCUAAUAAAAAAAAUUACAAUUUAAACCCCUAUGUUUUAGCCCCUUUGCAAAAGAGACCUUUUGGUCAAUUUUGACCGGGUCAACGCGCAUGUGUCAUGCCACAUGUGUAUUUUCCCAUUUAUUUUUAUUGAAAAAGCCAAUUGUGUAAUACUUGAAUUAAAAAAAAAUAAAAAUGGAAAGGUUGGCACGUGAGAGAACUUCAUUUUCACUUCUUUUCUUUCUUUCACAUUCUAAGGUGAAAAGCAAAACCCCUAAGUUUCCGAAAAUCAAAUUCAGUUGAUUCACAAAUCCCCAAUCACUUCAUGUUCACUUCGUUUCUGCUUCACAAAUCAAAUUCCAGUUGAUUGUUCAUCUCUGUUUGUUGCGAAAAUGAAGUGGAAAGAAGAUGAAAAGGCGACGGCAACGGCGAGUACGGGUUCUACGGUGAAGAAAAAAGAUGCGACGACGGGGAGAACAGAGGAAGGUUCGGUUAUGGAGAAGAACAGAUGAAGAAUAGAUGGUCGAAUAAGAUGAAGAAGACAAGGUUUGGUUAUGGUCGAAUAUGAAAAGGAGGGUUGAAGAAUUGGGGGUCUCACGUGCCAACCUUUCCAUUUUAUUUUUUAUUUUUUUAUUUUUUUAAUUCAAGUAUUACACAAUUGGCUUUUUCAAUAAAAAUAAAUGGGAAAAUACACAUGUGGCAUGACACAUGCGCGUUGACCCGGUCAAAAUUGACCAAAAGGUCUCUUUUGCAAAGGGGCUAAAACAUAGGGGUUUAAAUUGUAAUUUUUUUAUUAGGGGACCAAAAUCGCACCUUUAUGAAAGUUAGGGGGUCAAAACUGCAGUUUAGCCUAAA